UUGUGAGGUUAAACUCACUCUCUCCCCUAUUGUAGAUAAUAUUAUUUGUUCAAAAAUUAAAAUAUAAAAAAUUAAAAAAAAUUAAAAAAUAAAACAAGCAGCAAUUCAUGCAAGACCACAAGUCAUAAUUAAUUCAGGACAAAGAUUAGUUUGUUUGUUUGAUAGUCAUCAAUCAUAAACUAUAAUUCAUAAUUAAUUCAGGACAAGAUUAGUUUGUUUGUUUGAUAGUCAUCAAUCAUAAACUAUAAUUCAUAGUUAAUUCAUGACAAGAUUAGUCACUUCGUUUGAUAGUCAUCAGUCAUAAAUUAUAUUAUUAUGGGUCCUAUCCCCUAUCUUUUUGGGUCCAAUUUAUGUGUCCUAUCAAUUGAUCAAUUUCA
rnacentral:lncRNA from 1 species